rnacentral:rRNA from 1 species
AAAUUGAAGAGUUUGAUCAUGGCUCAGAUUGAACGCUGGCGGCAGGCCUAACACAUGCAAGUCGAGCGGUAACACAGAGAGCUUGCUCUCGGGUGACGAGCGGCGGACGGGUGAGUAAUGUCUGGGAAACUGCCUGAUGGAGGGGG